GACGUAGGGCGCGAGCGUUGUCCGGAUUUAUUGGGCGUAAAGAGCUCGUAGGCGGUGUGUCGCGUCGGCCGUGAAAACCUGCAGCUUAACUGUGGGCUUGCGGUCGAUACGGGCAUCACUGGAGUUCGGCAGGGGAGACUGGAAUUCCUGGUGUAGCGGUGAAAUGCGUAGAUAUCGAGAGGAACACCUGCGGCGAAGGCGGGUUGCUGGGCUGACACUGACGCUGGAUGCGCGAAAAGCUAGGGGAGCGAACGGG
rnacentral:rRNA from 1 species